rnacentral:rRNA from 1 species
UACGUAGGGGGCAAGCGUUGUCCGGAAUCAUUGGGCGUAAAGCGCGUGUAGGCGGCUCGGUAAGUCUGCUGUGAAAGUCCAGGGCUCAACCCUGGGAUGCCGGUGGAUACUGUCGAGCUCGAGUCCGGAAGAGGCGAGUGGAAUUCCCGGUGUAGCGGUGAAAUGCGCAGAUAUCGGGAGGAACACCAAUGGCGAAGGCAGCUCGCUGGGACGUGACUGACGCUGAGACGCGAAAGCGUGGGGAUCAAAAGGG